rnacentral:rRNA from 1 species
GUAGAGAUGUGGAGGAACACCAGUGGCGAAGGCGACUCUCUGGUCUGUAACUGACGCUGAGGCGCGAAAGCGUGGGGAGCGAACAGGAUUAGAUACCCUGGUAGUCCACGCCGUAAACGAUGAGUGCUAAGUGUUAGAGGGUUUCCGCCCUUUAGUGCUGCAGCAAACGCAUUAAGCACUCCGCCUGGGGAGUACGGUCUCUAGACUGAAACUCAAAGGAAUUGACGGGGGCCCGCACAAGCGGUGGAGCAUGUGGUUUAAUUCGAAGCAACGCGAAGAACCUUACCAGGUCUUGACAUCCUCUGACAACCCUAGAGAUAGGGCUUCCCCUUCGGGGGCAGAGUGACAGGUGGUGCAUGGUUGUCGUCAGCUCGUGUCGUGAGAUGUUGGGUUAAGUCCCGCAACGAGCGCAACCCUUGAUCUUAGUUGCCAGCAUUCAGUUGGGCACUCUAAGGUGACUGCCGGUGACAAACCGGAGGAAGGUGGGGAUGACGUCAAAUCAUCAUGCCCCUUAUGA